AAUCGCAAAAUCCACCAUACAGUUGGUGAAAAUGCCACUACUGUAAAGAGGAUUUGGCAUUGCCAAUUAACAUCAACUUCUUAGGAGGCUGCAUUUCAGGUCAUCUUCGUUUACAGGUAGACAACGCCAAUUUCUCCUUAAAUAUGGCUUUGUCUUAUUCAUGCAGGGAAAAACAAGGGACUAGAGGUCUUACAGGUACAAUUAAUGUGCCCUUACAUCAACAAACUCAUCGUUAAUGGGCAUACAAGACAUGUAUGGAUCCCAGAAUAAUGAGGUUUAAUAAAAUUCUGUUUGCAGAUGGUGAAAACAAUUUAAAGUCACCAAUACAUUUUUAAGGUGUUCAACUUCUGCAGGAGACAAGUCUCACAUGUUACAGGCCUAAACAUUCCUCAAAGUUUCAAAUUGGCCUGGGAUUUGUGCUGUAAUUUUUAAAUAGAGUUGGUUUUCUGCUGUGUCCUUAUAUCACAUUCUUACAGAAGUUUAUAAAACCAUUUUAACAACCAAAUUCCAGUAGAAAUCUGGAAGAUGUAAAUUAAAAGCAUGAUCACCUUCAUGGAAAUAACAAGGAUAAGCACAUACAAAACAACUGGAAGAAAAGGGUGGGAAGCAAAUCUUGGGAAAAAAAUCAGGAGUGAACCUGAAUGUAAGCUGGGCUGCGUUGUUCACAGAUUAACUCCUGUACCCAGUUUAAAGAAGUAAUUCAUACCUUGUACUGCUUGUAUUCAAGAACAGCACUAUCCUAGAUCCAUUUUUAACUUUAACAUCGGCUUUUGUACUAUACUCACAUUGUACUCAUUACCUUAUUCCAUUACAGUGUGUUGUAAAACUGUAGGCGAUGUUGAGUGAGCUUUAUUAACUUUCAGAAGGAGCACUUCAGUACCAGAAAAUCAUUUAUAUUACUGUGAUUAUCAGCCAAUUGUACUAAUCCAGCAAUUAGAAAUACACGUACUAGAAAGGAGAAAUUACUCUCAGCUCAGACAUGAAUGUUGGUAUAAUUCCUUACUGUGCAGAGCCUCACUGAGGGUCCAAGCACCUGAACCACGAAGCACUCUCAACUCACAUUGAACUUAAUGAGAGUUAAGAGUACGCGGCACCGCACAGCAUCAGACUUGAAAUUUGUGUUUUGAAGACAUCAAGGUCAAGACACAGAAGCAGUAUCUUGAAGAAUAAGAAUGACAAGGCAACAGAUAUGUCAUAAAGAGGAAUGUUAAGGCGUGUGUCAUUUGUGUUUCAGAGCAAGAGCUCACACACCUAAUGCUGAUUAAUUCUGCUGGACUGGGUAACUGGCUCCCCUGUGGAUAUCCUGUUUUCCUGUGAAUCAUUGUUGCUCCUUGAGACAUCCUCCAACUCAGUUCAAAGAUCCAGAAUGUAUUAGAUAUGAAGACAUCAGACAGCUCAAACAGAUUAGAAAAGACACACACAAAGAAAUGCAUCCCAGCUUCUCCCUCCUGUCUGCUGAAAAUUGGCAUGGUGAACACAAUCCUAAGCACUUGUUAUAAAAGAAACAGUAGAAAGACAAAAAGAAGAAAAGAGGAGAGAGACUUUGAGUUUACCCAGAGUCUUCUACAAGUUAGCCUUUCUAAGUAUUUGCACUUUUGUACUUAGUUCUCCUUUGCAGUUGGAAACUUCAGACUAGAUCCUCAUCUGAUGGAAAAUGACAUCCCUAAGCUUUAGCAAGAGCUGCACCAACUGCAUCAGCGGAGGACUUGGUACUAUCCAUUUAAGUCUUGAGCCUUGCCUACAAACACACAAAUUAAAGGAACAUGAAAACACGUGGGUUUUUUUUCAAGUUUAUGCAGUCUGUUGUGUUCUUGAUGGUUUUAUUCAUUUUUCCGUUUAGCUAUAUGAACAACUGAAAAGAUUCUGCACC